ACGGCAGUCAGUUGCGCUCAACUGAUUCAUAUCAUUUUAUUUUUUAAGCAUCUCGGAGAAAUCGAAUGGCUUUAACUAAUGCAGACCGCGCAGAGAUCAUUGCUAAAUUUGCUCGCGCUGAA
rnacentral:misc_RNA from 1 species